AUUGAACGCUGGCGGCAGGCCUAACACAUGCAAGUCGAACGAGUGGCGGACGGGUGAGUAAUGUCUGGGAAACUGCCUGAUGGAGGGGGAUAACUACUGGAAACGGUAGCUAAUACCGCAUACCAUCAGAUGUACCCAUAUGGGAUUAGCUUGUGGGUGAGGUAACGGCUCACCUAGGCGACGAUCCCUAGCUGGUCUGAGAGGAUGAUCAGCCACACUGGAACUGAGACACGGUCCAGACGCCUACGGGAGGCAGCAGUGGGGAAUAUUGCACAAUGGGCGCAAGCCUGAGGCAGCCAUGCCGCGUGUAUGAAGAAGGCCUUCGGGUUGUAAAGUACUUUCAGCGGGGAGGCGUUACCCACAGAAGAAGCACCGGCUAACUCCGUGCCAGCAGCCGCGGUAAUAC
rnacentral:rRNA from 1 species